rnacentral:rRNA from 1 species
UAUGGUAAUUGCCAGCCGCCGCGGUAAUACGGAGGAUGCGAGCGUUAUCCGGAUUUAUUGGGUUUAAAGGGAGCGCAGACGGGUCGUUAAGUCAGCUGUGAAAGUUUGGGGCUCAACCUUAAAAUUGCAGUUGAUACUGGCGUCCUUGAGUGCGGUUGAGGUGUGCGGAAUUCGUGGUGUAGCGGUGAAAUGCUUAGAUAUCACGAAGAACUCCGAUUGCGAAGGCAGCACACUAAUCCGUAACUGACGUUCAUGCUCGAAAGUGUGGGUAUCAAACAGG